rnacentral:rRNA from 1 species
AUGGCGGAGCUUGCUCUUCUUCUUGUCAUAAAAAAGAUUGGCAUAGCUUUGGCAGCAGAGGCACUAAAGCAUGCUGGACCAUGGCUUGAACUCUCUAAUAAUAUGAAAAGGAUGAAGAAUGAUCUUGAACUUCUGCAAUCAUUUCUCGGUGAUAUUGGAAGCAAGGGUUGGCCAGAUCGAGUCACCGAAACAUGGAUAGGUCAAGCCCGAAGAUUAGCCUAUGAUAUGGAAGACAUUGUAGAUCAGUUUAUUUAUGUGGUUGGUAAACACCAUCAGAAAGGAUCGUGGUGGGCUUCUGUGAAGAAAAUAGUGAAGAAACCCCAAUCUCUGUUUACACUGGUUCAAAUUGCUACGGCCUUUCAGAGAAUAGAGCUGGAGCUUACACAGCUUAAACAAAACAGAGAAUGGACUCAACCAAUUGCUGGAGUGACUGAUGUUCCUGCAACAGAUUAUGACAUCCAGCAGCAAAUGUAUCUUCCUGGACAUGAUUACUCAAUCUCUGAUGAUGAACUUGUAGGACUUGGUAAAAAUAGAGAAACCUUGAUGAAGUCAUUGAAUUUGGAAGAAUUUUCUGAUCUGCAGAUCAUUGCUGUGUGGGGUAUGGGUGGCAUCGGAAAAAGCACUCUUGUCCACAAUGUAUUGAGAAAUGCAGCAUCCCAGUUUGAAUGUAGUGCAUGGGUUUCUGUCUCUCGGGCAUAUAAAAUAGAUGAUAUUUGGAGAAGCAUGCUAAAAGGAAUCUAUUCGAAAGACAAGAAAGAAUUUGAUGCCGAAAAGGUGAGCAUUGAUGAAAAGAUGAGCACUGCAGAGCUACAAGUUAAAUUGAAGGAAAUCCUAGAGACAAAGCGAUAUUUGAUCAUACUGGAUGAUGUCUGGACAGCUGAAGAUCUUUUUAAAAUUAAAGAGGUUCUUGUUGAUGUGGGCAUGGGAAGCAGAGUAAUAGUCACAACAAGAACAGAGGAAGUUGCUUCAAUAGCUGAUGAUGGUUGCAGGAUCAAAGUGGAGCGUCUUGAGGAGGGGGAUGCAUGGCAUCUAUUUUGCAGGAAAGCAUUUCCCAGAAUUGAAAAUCACAUCUGCCCAAAAGCAUUACAAGAGUGUGGUCAAUUAAUAGUGCAGAAGUGUGAUGGUUUACCAUUAGCUCUUGUGGCCAUAGGGAGCAUACUGUCUCUUAAACAACAGAAUGUUACACAGUGGAGGCUAUUUCAAGAUCAGCUUAUUUGGGAGCUAGACAACAAUAAAAACUUAAAUCGCGUGAAGAACAUUCUGAAUCUAAGCUACAAAUACUUGCCUGACUAUUUGAAGAGCUGUUUCUUGUAUUGUGCCAUGUUCCCAGAAGAUUACAUGAUCAAAAGAAAAAAAUUGAUUAGAUUGUGGGUUGCUGAAGGGUUUAUUGAACAAAAAGGAACAUUCAGUUUAGAAGAUAUUGCUGAAGGUUACCUCACAGAGCUAGUACAACACAGCAUGCUUCAUGUGGUAGAGAGGAACAGUUUUAACAGGAUAAAGCGUCUUCGAAUGCAUGAUCUUGUGCGUGAAUUAGCCAUUUUCCAGUCUAAAAGGGAGAGUUUCAGUACGACUUAUGAUGAUAGUCUUGGGGUGAUCCAAGUGGAAUCUGAUUCUCGUCGCAUGUCAGUGCUCCAAUGCAAGAAUGGCAUUCAACCAAGCAUAGGUCAAUGCAGGCUUCGUACCUUCAUAGCAUUUAGCACCAGCAAAGCAUCAUCUUCAUUGUUUCCUUCAGAAUCUAAGUACCUAGCUGUGUUGGAACUAUCGGGAUUACCUAUUGAGACUAUUCCAAAUUCUGUCGGAGAGCUAUUUAACCUUAGGUAUUUGGGCCUCGACGGCACCAAUGUGAAGGUACUCCCAAAAUCUGUUGUGAACCUUCACAACUUAGAAACACUGGGUCUUGCAGGUGCAGGCUGUCUGAAUCUCCCACGAGGGUCUGAAAAUCUGAAGAGAUUGCGGCACAUUCGUAUGUAUAAAUGGCUGGAUAUAACAUGCUCGGUUUUUAAAACUUAUGAACCAUUUGAGCCGUUUGAGGGAUUGUGGAGUUUGAAGGACUUGCAAACUUUGCAUUCAGUUCCAGCUAGUAAAGUAUUCAUUGCCAAACUAGCAAAUUUAUCUCAGCUGAGGGCCUUUAGCAUUAAUGGGGUAAGGAGCAUCCACUCUGCACAACUGUGUGACUCUCUGUCAAAGAUGCACCAGCUCUCACAGUUAGAAAUAAAAGCCAGCAAUGAAGAUGAUGAGCUCCAGCUUGAAACUUUAACAUUGACAAACCGCCUUAAAAAGCUCAAUAUAUCGGGGCGGAUUUCUGAAGGAACAUUGAACUCUCCAUUUUUCUCAACCAACAGAGAUGCCCUUCACGAGAUAUCUCUACGUUGGUCCCAACUUGCGGAAAACCCAUUACAGCGCCUCUCUGAAUUGUCAAAUUUAACCUUAAUAUAUCUUAGAAGGGCGUAUACUGGACAGGAGCUAACCUUCCACCCAGAGUGGUUCCCUAAUGUGAAGAUCCUUUUCUUGUAUGAUUUGCCACAUGUCAACCAAAUAUGCAUACACGAGCGAGCUUUGGUCCGCCUUGAAGAACUUGUCAUCAGUGGCCUUGCCGAACUGCGGGACAUCCCUACUGGCCUGGAACAUCGGAAAUCCCUCAUAAAGGCGUUGUUUCUUGACAUGCAACCUGAAUUCAAAAGGAAUCUUCAAGCGGCAAAACUAGAGCAUAUCUCGAUAUCCUACUACAGGACAGUACGAUCCAGAGUGGCAUGA